GAUCUACUCCCUCCGUUCCGAAUUACUUGUCGCAGGUAUGAAUGUAUCUAGAUGUAUUUUAGUUUUAGAUACAUCCAUUUCCGCGAUGAAUAAUUUGAAACGGAGGGAGUAAUAC
rfam:Triticum urartu cultivar G1812 contig159252, whole genome shotgun sequence.